GCUGUGUCUGUUUUGUUGGAACCGUCUUCCCUCUCCUCUCCCCUUUAUGAAUCAGGAGUUUAAGCAUUAACAGAUUGCAGGCUAUUGUAUCAUAAGACUCUUCAUUGCCUGAGUUGAAUUUCCUUCAGGACUUGCAAAAUCUUGGGUCAUGGGAUUCCAACCUAAGAUUUAAAAAAAAAAAAGUCUGCAGUUUCUGUUCCUUGUUUGUAAUUCUUCUUCUUCUCUAAGCGCCAUGACAGGAGCACAGCCUUUGCAGAGGGUACCUACCUAAGUUGAAGGUGGCCUUCAGUUAUCUCUAUAACCAGGUGCCCCAGAAGAGGGGGAUGAGCAUCAUUAAGCAGUGAGCAGCAUCAGGAAGACUCCUGCCACUUGUCAGCAGACUUGGCUUUCAGUAAACAGUUGAUGUCUAUGAAAAUCUAACUGUCUUGUUAAAGAGAGUGAUUUCUGCAUUUGGCAUUUGAAAGACUAUGGAGGAGGCUUGAGUGGCAUUCCCACCAUGUUUCCUGAGCACAGAGGACAGCUUUGCAAAGACACUGCUUGGAAGUGGACUGCGCAGGCUUCUUAGAUAUGUAGCCAUCUUCUGGGACCUGCCAGUCUUGGAGAGAGAGAAGAUCCAGAAUUCUACAAGCUGCAAACACACUGUAUUAGAGCAGGCUGAGAUCAGAUGGCUGGGGAGAAAUACAGAUGGAUGGAGUUCUUUUCCUGGAGUUUGCCUGGAAAGGUCAGUGAACAGCAGAAAUAAGGACACAUUUGACCCUCUUGGGAUAUUCCGAAACACCACACUUAGUCAAUUGCCAUCUAAUGAUAAAAUUCAUUGACUAUUUCUUUUCAGGUGUUUUGUUUGCAUUUAUUCAUUUGUUUCUCUGAACAACUUUGUUUGGUAGACAUCUCUUCCAGGUGAAGAGAAGAAGGCUGUGAAGGGAUUGUUUCACAAAAUUAAACAACCAAAUAGAGGUUUGUUUGAGUCCUCAGUCCACAACUCUCCCACAAUACCAUGCUUUGACCUUUCCUUGUUAUUUGAUCUGAUUCUUUGGUGAUGUUUUAUGCUUCUUUGGUUUGGUGAUUGCGACCCCAUCAGUCUUGACGAAUUCAUCUUGGAAAUUCUGCCCUAGAAUCUCAGUUGAUUUUUUUUUUUUGAGUGUCUCGUCCACUUUGAAGCCUGCACCUCUAAUUCUGACAUCAAUAUCCCCCCUCCCUGACAUCUAUCAACUCCACAGCUAUAAUCUUUCUCCUGUUACUCCUGUCUGCCACCUCUGAGCUCAGUGUUAAAGACAG
rnacentral:lncRNA from 1 species